rnacentral:rRNA from 1 species
UACGGAGGGUGCAAGCGUUAUCCGGAUUCACUGGGUUUAAAGGGUGCGUAGGUGGGCAGGUAAGUCAGUGGUGAAAUCUCUGGGCUUAACUCAGAAACUGCCAUUGAUACUAUCUGUCUUGAAUACCGUGGAGGUCAGCGGAAUAUGUCAUGUAGCGGUGAAAUGCUUAGAUAUGACACAGAACUCCGAUUGCGAAGGCAGCUCACUAAACUGUAACUGACGCUGAGGCACGAAAGCGUGGGGAUCAAACAGG